rnacentral:rRNA from 1 species
GACGUAGGGCGCGAGCGUUGUCCGGAUUUAUUGGGCGUAAAGAGCUCGUAGGCGGCUUGUCGCGUCGUUCGUGAAAACCCACGGCUCAACUGUGGGCUUGCGGUCGAUACGGGCAGGCUGGAGUUCGGUAGGGGAGACUGGAAUUCCUGGUGUAGCGGUGAAAUGCGCAGAUAUCAGGAGGAACACCGGUGGCGAAGGCGGGUCUCUGGGCCAUUACUGACGCUGAGGCACGAAGGCCAGGGGAGCAAACGGG